UAACGCGUGAGUAACCUGCCCAUAAGAGGGGGAUAAUCCAUGGAAACGUGGACUAAUACCGCAUAUUGUAGUUAAGUUGCAUGACUUGAUUAUGAAAGAUUUAUCGCUUAUGGAUGGACUCGCGUCAGAUUAGAUAGUUGGUGAGGUAACGGCUCACCAAGUCAACGAUCUGUAGCCGAACUGAGAGGUUGAUCGGCCGCAUUGGGACUGAGACACGGCCCAGACUCCUACGGGAGGCAGCAGCGGGGAAUAUUGCGCAAUGGGGGCAACCCUGACGCAGCAACGCCGCGUGCAGGAAGAAGGUCUUCGGAUUGUAAACUGUUGUCGCAAGGGAAGAAGACAGUGACGGUACCUUGUGAGAAAGUCACGGCUAACUACGCGCCAGCAGCCGCGGUAAUACGUAGGUGACAAGCGUUGUUCGGAUUUACUGGGUGUAAAGGGCGCGUAGGCGGACUGUCAAGUCAGUCGUGAAAUACCGGGGCUUAACCCCGGGGCUGCGAUUGAAACUGACAGCCUUGAGUAUCGGAGAGGAAAGCGGAAUUCCUAGUGUAGCGGUGAAAUGCGUAGAUAUUAGGAGGAACACCAGUGGCGAAGGCGGCUUUCUGGACGACAACUGACGCUGAGGCGCGAAAGUGUGGGGAGCAAACAGGAUUAGAUACCCUGGUAGUCCACACCGUAAACGAUGGAUACUAGGUGU
rnacentral:rRNA from 1 species